rnacentral:rRNA from 1 species
GAUGAACGCUGGCGGCGUGCCUAAUACAUGCAAGUCGAGCGAACGGACGAGAAGCUUGCUUCUCUGAUGUUAGCGGCGGACGGGUGAGUAACACGUGGAUAACCUAUCUAUAAGACUGGGAUAACUUCGGGAAACCGGAGCUAAUACCGGAUAAUAUUUUGAACCGCAUGGUUCAAAAGUGAAAGACGGUCUUGCUGUCACUUAUAGAUGGAUCCGCGCUGCAUUAGCUAGUUGGUAAGGUAACGGCUUACCAAGGCAACGAUGCAUAGCCGACCUGAGAGGGUGAUCGGCCACACUGGAACUGAGACACGGUCCAGACUCCUACGGGAGGCAGCAGUAGGGAAUCUUCCGCAAUGGGCGAAAGCCUGACGGAGCAACGCCGCGUGAGUGAUGAAGGUCUUCGGAUCGUAAAACUCUGUUAUUAGGGAAGAACAUAUGUGUAAGAAACUGUGCACAUCUUGACGGUACCUAAUCAGAAAGCCACGGCUAACUACGUG